UACGUAGGGCGCAAGCGUGUCCGGAAUUAUUGGGCGUAAAGAGCUCGUAGGCGGCUUGUCGCGUCGGAUGUGAAAGCCCGGGGCUUAAACCCCGGGUCUGCAUUCGGAUACGGGCAGGCUAGAGUUCGGUAGGGGAGAUCGGAAUUCCUGGGUGGUAGCGGUGUAAAUGGCGCAGACUAUACAGGAGGAACACCGGUGGCCGAAGGCGGGAUCUCUGGGCCUUAACCUGACGCUGGAGGCGCGAAAGCUAGGGGAGCAAACAGG
rnacentral:rRNA from 1 species